UUGUGUUUAUUUUUUAAUGUGGGACUUGGAUUUUGUUGUUAAUUGAUGUAUUUAGUGGAUCUGGGUGUUUGAUGCAAAAUUACUGAAGGGUUUGUGGAUUUUGGGUCAACUGAGAUCUAUUGUGGCUGUUUGUUGAUUUAUUGUUUUGUUUUGAGUUUUGCUGAUGAUUUCUUGUUUCUUUUUCGGUCAAUUUAAUGCGGACAAGGUGUAUGGAGAGGACAAAUUCAGUGAGUGGGAGAGGUAAAAGGACCUUGGAGAGUGGUGAUAACGAAGAGGAGCAGCCUGAUAAGAAAAGUCCUGCUUUAGCUCGUGAUAUUGUGGAAACUCUGAAGGUGGAUAUACUCCAGAUGCUCUGCUCUUCAUUAAAACCGAUUCUUCAGAGCGUGGUCAGUGAAGGGGUAGAACGUGCUAUGGCAAAGUUGGGUCCUGCACGACUUGAUGGAAGGUCAUCACCUAAACGAAUUGAAGGGCCAGAUGGGAGAAACUUGCAGCUUCAUUUCAAAUCCAGGCUCUCUCUCCCCCUCUUCACUUGGGGGAAAGUAGAGGCGGAGCAGGGUGCUGCUAUUAACAUCGUACUGAUUGAUGCAGGCACAGGCCAUGUUAUAACAUCUGGCCCUGAAUCUUGUGUUAAGCUUGAUAUUAUAGUACUAGAAGGUGAUUUUAACAAUGAAGGUGAUGAAGGUUGGACUCAAGAAGAAUUUGAAAGCCACGUCGUGAAAGAGCGCGAGGGAAAAAGACCUCUUUUAACUGGGGAUUUGCAAGUGAUGCUCAAGGAAGGUGUUGGAACGCUAGGAGAUCUCACAUUUACAGACAAUUCAAGUUGGUUAAGGAGCAGGAAGUUCAGACUUGGGCUAAAGGUUGCAUCAGGAUAUUGUGAGGGGAUACGCAUACGGGAAGCGAAGACAGAGGCUUUUACUGUUAAAGAUCGCAGAGGAGAAUUGUACAAGAAGCAUUAUCCCCCUGCUUUAAAUGAUGAAGUAUGGAGAUUAGAGAUGAUCAGGAAAGAUGGUUCAUUCCACAAGAGGCUUAAUAGUGCAGGAAUAUUUACGGUCAAGGACUUCCUGCAGCUUGUGGUCAAAGACUCUCAAAAGUUACGAACUAUCCUUGGCAGUGGUAUGUCAAAUAAGAUGUGGGAGGCCCUCGUAGAGCAUGCAAAGACUUGUGUCUUGUGUGGGAAGCUUUAUAUAUAUUAUUCUGAUGAUUCAAGAAAUGUGGGUGUUGUUUUUAAUGAUAUAUACGAGUUGAGUGGCCUUACAGCAAACGAACAAUAUUAUCCCGCAGAUUCACUUUCUGACAGCCAAAAGGUAUAUGUGGAUACAUUGGUGAAGAAAGCAUGUGAUAAUUGGAACCAGAUUGUGGAAUAUGAUGAAAAAUCACUGUUGAACUUUAAGCAAAUUGAAAAGUCGAAUACUUCUCACAACGAUCUGCACGUGGGCCCUGUCAGUUAUCCUAUUGCCUUAAAUAAUCAGCUUCCACUUCAGAGAUUGCCAGUAACAGUUCCAUGUGACCAAUCGUCAAUGGACCCGAACGUGCUAACUGGAGGUUCAGUUUACAGCAAUAUGAUUACUCGAUAUUCUACCCAGUCUCAGCUUAUGAAUUCCAGUUCCCGCAGCCAGUUUGAUACCACCUCUUUUACUCAGCCUGACCAGCAGGUUAACCUAUCAUAUGAUAAUAGGAUUGGGGAUGCCCUUGGUCCACCUCUGUCACCAUCAUUCGAAGCUGGAAUCUCUUCUAUUCAGCAAGCGAAUCUUAUUCCUUAUGAGGACUGGUCCCAUAAUUGGGUGAAGGGUGUUGAUGACUCCUUACCUGAAAUGCUUGAAAAUGAUGAUAUGCAGCACUUGAUUUGGCCUUCCAGCAUGGGAUGUCACGACAAUAUGAUUACUCGAUAUUCGAAUCAGUCUCAGCUUAUGAAUUCCAGUUCCCACACCCAGUUUGAUACCACCUCUUUUACUCAGCCCGACCAGCAGGUUAACCUAUCAUAUGAUGAUAGGAUUAGGGUUGCCCUCGGUCCACCUCUGUCAUCAUCAUUCCAAGCGGGAAACUCGUCUAUUCAGCAAGCGAAUCUUAAUCCUUUUGAGGACUGUUCCUGUAAUCGGGUGGAGGGUGUUGAUGACUUCUUAUCAGAUGAGGAAAAUUACAUCAGAAGUCACGAAAUGCUUGAAGAAGAAGAUAUGCAGAUGUUGCUUUCGCAUUUCGGCAUGGGAGGUCUCUCUUCCAUUAAUGAGAUGGGUCGGCCGAAAAUUAAGGCUGAAAUGAGAUGGGUUGUCAGGAAGAAGGCAGCUGAGAAGAGGGCAUAGAUUGUGGAGUUGGAAGACGAAUAGAAUUUGCUCUGGUGAUGGAGUUUGACAUUGAAUCUUAACCAUCAACUGGAUCUGACAAUUGCUGAAACUCUUCUUCAGAUCAAGUAGAUUCGCUAGGUUUCAGGACUCCACAUUUUCCAGGUUGGAGUUGGAGGUGGAGAGUUGGAACUCCAAGAAGACGACCGUGAAGAUCAAAUACAGGCAUUUACGUUGAAAUUCCUGUAGGAGGUAGUAAAUGGAGCCUGACUCUAGUCUGUUUUCACAAGCCCGCCUCUAGUUCCCUAGUCGUCCACGUUCUCUAACAUUUCC